GCGAACGUUAGCGGCGCGCCUAACACAUGCAAGUCGCACGAGAAAGGGCUUCGGCCCCGGUACAGUGGCGCACGGGUGAGUAACACGUGGGUAACCUUCCUGGAAGUGGUGGAUAACCUGCCGAAAGGCGGGCUAAUACAGCAUGCGACGAAGGGGCUUCGGCUCUUUCGUGAAAGCAGGCCUCUGUUCACACGCUUGCGCUUCCAGAUGGGCCCGCGUCCCAUCAGCUAGUUGGUGAGGUAACGGCUCACCAAGGCUACGACGGGUAGCUGGUCUGAGAGGAUGAUCAGCCACACUGGAACUGAGACACGGUCCAGACUCCUACGGGAGGCAGCAGUGGGGAAUCUUGCGCAAUGGACGAAAGUCUGACGCAGCGACGCCGCGUGGGCGACGAAGGCCUUCGGGUUGUAAAGCCCUGUGGGGGGAGACGAACACACGGGAGUCAAACAGGCUCACGUGCUGACGGUAUCUCCUUAGCAAGCACCGGCUAACUCUGUGCCAGCAGCCGCGGUAA
rnacentral:rRNA from 1 species